GGGUACUCGAGCGGCGAACGGGUGAGUAACACGUGAGUAACCUGCCCCAGGCUUUGGGAUAACCCCGGGAAACCGGGGCUAAUACCGGAUAUGACCAUCUGUCGCAUGGUGGGUGGUGGAAAGAUUUUUUGGCUUGGGAUGGGCUCGCGGCCUAUCAGCUUGUUGGUGGGGUGAUGGCCUACCAAGGCGGCGACGGGUAGCCGGCCUGAGAGGGCGACCGGCCACACUGGGACUGAGACACGGCCCAGACUCCUACGGGAGGCAGCAGUGGGGAAUCUUGCACAAUGGGCGGAAGCCUGAUGCAGCGACGCCGCGUGAGGGAUGACGGCCUUCGGGUUGUAAACCUCUUUCAGCAGGGACGAAGCGUUUGUGACGGUACCUGCAGAAGAAGCGCCGGCCAACUACGUGCCAGCAGCCGCGGUAAGACGUAGGGCGCAAGCGUUGUCCGGAUUUAUUGGGCGUAAAGAGCUCGUAGGCGGCUUGUCGCGUCGACUGUGAAAACCCGUGGCUCAACUGCGGGCUUGCAGUCGAUACGGGCAGGCUAGAGUUCGGUAGGGGAGACUGGAAUUCCUGGUGUAGCGGUGAAAUGCGCAGAUAUCAGGAGGAACACCGGUGGCGAAGGCGGGUCUCUGGGCCGAUACUGACGCUGAGGAGCGAAAG
rnacentral:rRNA from 1 species